rnacentral:pre_miRNA from 1 species
GGCAAACUGUCCGUCUUAUAUAAAUUUUUUUUAUAAUUAGUAUUUUCAUUGUUGUUAGAUGAUAAAACAUGAUUAAUAUUUUAUACGUGACUUAUCUUUUUAAUUUUUUCAUAAUUUUUUUAAAUAAGACGAACGGUCAAACGUUGGAUACGGAAAUC